ACAGCGAAACUGCGAAUGGCUCAUUAUAUAAGUUAUCGUUUAUUUGAUAGUACCUUACUACUUGGAUAACCGUGGUAAUUCUAGAGCUAAUACAUGCUAAAAAUCCCGACUUCGGAAGGGAUGUAUUUAUUAGAUUAAAAACCAAUGCCCUCUGGGCUCCUUGGUGAUUCAUAAUAACUUUUCGAAUCGCAUGGCCUUGCGCCGGCGAUGGUUCAUUCAAAUUUCUUCCCUAUCAACUUUCGAUGUUUGGGUAUUGGCCAAACAUGGUCGCAACGGGUAACGGAGGGUUAGGGCUCGACCCCGGAGAAGGAGCCUGAGAAACGGCUACUACAUCCAAGGAAGGCAGCAGGCGCGCAAAUUACCCAAUCCCGAUUCGGGGAGGUAGUGACAAUAAAUACUGAUACAGGGCUCUUUUGGGUCUUGUAAUUGGAAUGAGUACAAUUUAAAUCCCUUAACGAGGAACAAUUGGAGGGCAAGUCUGGUGCCAGCAGCCGCGGUAAUUCCAGCUCCAAUAGCGUAUAUUAAAGUUGUUGUGGUUAAAAAGCUCGUAGUUGAACCUUGGGCCUGGCUGGCCGGUCCGCCUCACCGCGUGUACUGGUCCGGCCGGGCCUUUCCCUCUGUGGAACCUCAUGCCCUUCACUGGGUGUGGCGGGGAAACAGGACUUUUACUUUGAAAAAAUUAGAGUGCUCCAGGCAGGCCUAUGCUCGAAUACAUUAGCAUGGAAUAAUGAAAUAGGACGUGUGGUUCUAUUUUGUUGGUUUCUAGGACCGCCGUAAUGAUUAAUAGGGACAGUCGGGGGCAUCAGUAUUCAAUUGUCAGAGGUGAAAUUCUUGGAUUUAUUGAAGACUAACUACUGCGAAAGCAUUUGCCAAGGAUGUUUUCAUUAAUCAGGAACGAAAGUUAGGGGAUCGAAGACGAUCAGAUACCGUCGUAGUCUUAACCAUAAACUAUGCCGACUAGGGAUCGGACGAUGUUAUUUUUUGACGCGUUCGGCACCUUACGAGAAAUCAAAGUGCUUGG
rnacentral:rRNA from 1 species